AUUGAACGCUGGCGGCAUGCCUUACACAUGCAAGUCGAACGGUAACAGGUCUUCGGAUGCUGACGAGUGGCGAACGGGUGAGUAAUACAUCGGAACGUGCCCGAUCGUGGGGGAUAACGGAGCGAAAGCUUUGCUAAUACCGCAUACGAUCUACGGAUGAAAGCAGGGGACCGCAAGGCCUUGCGCGAACGGAGCGGCCGAUGGCCGAUUAGGUAGUUGGUGGGAUAAAAGCUUACCAAGCCGACGAUCUGUAACUGGUCUGAGAGGACGACCAGCCACACUGGGACUGAGACACGGCCCAGACUCCUACGGGAGGCAGCAGUGGGGAAUUUUGGACAAUGGGCGCAAGCCUGAUCCAGCAAUGCCGCGUGCAGGAUGAAGGCCUUCGGGUUGUAAACUGCAUUUGUACGGAACGAAAAGGCUCCUGUUAAUACAGGGGGGCAAUGACGGUACCGUAAGAAUAAGCACCGGCUAACUACGUGCCAGCCGCCGCCGUAACAC
rnacentral:rRNA from 1 species